GCCGGGCACCGUGGCUUAUGCCUGUAAUCCCAGUGUCUGGGGAGGCUGAGGCAGGAGGAUCCUGAACGCUAAGCAACUCAGUGAGACCCUGUCUCUA
rnacentral:sRNA from 1 species